CUACGUGCCAGCAGCCGCGGUAAUACGGAAGGUCCAGGCGUUAUCCGGAUUUAUUGGGUUUAAAGGGAGCGUAGGCUGGAGAUUAAGUGUGUUGUGAAAUGUAGACGCUCAACGUCUGAAUUGCAGCGCAUACUGGUUUCCUUGAGUACGCACAACGUUGGCGGAAUUCGUCGUGUAGCGGUGAAAUGCUUAGAUAUGACGAAGAACUCCGAUUGCGAAGGCAGCUGACGGGAGCGCAACUGACGCUUAAGCUCGAAGGUGCGGGUAUCAAACAGGAUUAGAUACCCUGGUAGUCCGCACAGUAAACGAUGGAUGCCCGCUGUUGGUACCUGGUAUCAGCGGCUAAGCGAAAGCAUUAAGCAUCCCMCCUGGGGAGUACGCCGGCAACGGUGAAACUCAAAGGAAUUGACGGGGGCCCGCACAAGCGGAGGAACAUGUGGUUUAAUUCGAUGAUACGCGAGGAACCUUACCCGGGCUUGAA
rnacentral:rRNA from 1 species